UACGUAGGGUGCGAGCGUUGUCCGGAAUUAUUGGGCGUAAAGAGCUCGUAGGCGGUGUGUCGCGUCGGCCGUGAAAACCUGCAGCUUAACUGUGGGCUUGCGAUCGAUACGGGCAUCACUUGAGUUCGGCAGGGGAGACUGGAAUUCCUGGUGUAGCGGUGAAAUGCGCAGAUAUCAGGAGGAACACCGGUGGCGAAGGCGGGGUCUCUGGGCC
rnacentral:rRNA from 1 species